AGUACAUGUAUUCCAUCUGCCCAGAAUGAAAGUACUCAAGUUAUCUUUUCAAUACAUAAAACAAAUCACAUUAUUUCCCUGCUUAAAAUGCUCCAGUGGGUUCCCUUCAACCCUAAAAAUCACAUCCCUUCCUCUGGUCUGCACAUUCAUGAACUGACCUGUUCCAGGCUCAUCUCUUACUGAACUUUCUCUUGCCCACUCAGCUCUAGCCACACCGACCUUCCUUGUCUUUCUCAAUAGCCACACUUGUUCUACAUUAGGAUCUUCACACUAGUGCCUCUGCUGCCUGGAGUAAUUUCCUCCGUAUUUUCAGAUCACAUUGUAAAUAUGGCCACUUCAAAGACACCUCCCUGAAAACCCAAUCUCUAUCAUAUUCCAUUUAAACUUGUUUUUCUGGGUAGCUCUUAUUUCUGUACAUUGCACACUAACUUCCUUGCUUAGCUUCCUCUUUAGAAUAUCAACUCCACAGAAACAGCGGUUUUGUGUGUCUUGUUACCUUCUGUAUCCCAUCCUUAGACCCUAGAGCAGUGCCGGCACAUGAAAGCCCUACACAAAUAAUAGUUGAAAACAAUGAAUGAACAAAUCUGCUUGUGUCAAGCACUUAUGUCCUACACUUGCCUAGAAAAGACAGAUCAGAACCAGUUAAGAGAGCAGAUGCAGAAGAGCCAAAAACCAGGUUGUGACCCAAUUUCUCUUGAGUCUAGUGGUCACAUAAAAAUGUGCUCUAUUAGUAAUAUAAGUUAAAAUAGAUAAAACGUUCAAAGCUUGUAAAUUUUUAAAAAAUCCCCUGCAAAAGUGCUUUUGGGACAAAUAAUAGCAAAUGCGGAAAUCAAUGAAAACAAAAACACGACACAUAAAAACCUCUGCUUUACAGCAAAGUCAGACUCAGAAAUUAAUUGUUCAUUUUUUAAUCUCAUAUAAUUUCAUUUAUCUGAUUAUAAAAUACUGCACCCUUAUUAUUUGCAGAAAACAGAGAAGCACAAACAAAAUAAAAACUGUGAAUAAGCACUGAAGACCUUUGCCUGCAUCAGCCAAAUAUCUGUGACUAGGAAAGCAGACAGAGUUACAUGGACAAGGGACACUAUUGGCAAGGAUAAUGGCAAUAGAAACCCUAAGGAAAUAAGAAGGAAAAACAUGCCCUCUGAUUGUUGCCUCAGAGCGGGCAAGCCAAAAGGUGAUGGUCAGCAGAUGGAGGAGGAAAUGUUUGCAGAGGAAUUGGAACUGAGGAAGAAUUGCCCCAUCCUCCACAGUCACUAAAUACAGAACACAGGUAUCUCUAGCAUUGAGAAGGCAGUAUUCACUAUGGACAUAGAAUAUUGACAGGACGGAGGAGAACUACGGUUGUGUGCUAUGUAGGGAAGGACUGCCUUUACAGCUGUUUCAUCAGGAAAUUUCCAUAGAAGAAGCAGAAACUUUGAGAUCACACGGGUUUGGAUUAUAAACCCUUGCUCCAUGACAUACUAGCUUUGGGGUCUUGGAAAAUAACUUAGCUUUACUUGAUUUCUUCAUCAGUAGAAAAGGAGACAACCAUGACUAGCUGUACAGUUCAAUUCAUCCCUUGCCUGGAGCCUAGAAUCAAAAACACAUCUCAAUAAGUAUCUAUGAUGGUUGGUAUUAUUAUUAUUACCUCUCAGGGUUGCUGUGAGGCUUAAAUGAUAUACCACGUGAAGGCACCUUGGGCAGUGCCUAACAUAAGAAUGUGAUUUCCUUUUGUCGAAGCUUCUAAGGGGUAUCCUAGACAUUUUCACAUUUAAAUCUGUAGUAGGACAUUUCCUCUUAACUAGGACCUUCAGGGCAGCCUGAGGAGUCAGCACUUGGGAUUGAUUGAACAUGGAGGAAAAGAGAAGGGACUUAACCUUUGUUAAAUGCCUAUGCCAUGGUCUGAAUGUUUAUGUUUCUCCCCAAAUUUAUAUAUGGAAAUCCUAACACCCAAGACGAUGGUACUAGGAGAUGGGGCCUUUGGAAGGUGAUUAGAUCUCAUAGAUGGGAUUAAUGUCCUUAUAAAUGAGGCCCCAGUGAACUUCCUUGUUCCUUCCCAUAUAAAGAGGGCACAGUACUGUCUAAGACAGUGGAUCCUCACCAAACACAGAGGCACCUUGCUGCUGGUACCUUGAUCUUGGACUUCCCAGCCUCUAGUAUGAUGAGAAAUACAUUUCUGUUGAGUAUAAGCCAGUCAGUUUAUGGUAUUUUGUUAUGGCAGCCUAAACAGACUAAGACAGUCAACUACAAGUCAGAAAUGCUACUGGACAUGUGGGCGCACCAGAGAUCAGCUUUGCCUUCUUAAUUUUCGCUCUGAGUUGGCCUUGCUUCUUGUGUGUUUCCUAUUGCUGCUAUAACAAAUUACCACAAGCUUGAAACAGCAUACAUUUAAUAUGUUACCUGUCUGAAGAUCAGGAGGCUAAAGUGGGACAACGGGCUGCAUUCAUUCCAAAACCUCUAGGGGACAAUCUAUUUCCUUUCCUUUUCCAGCUUCUAGAGAGCCUCCUGCAUUCCCUGGCCCAUGGCAUUCUUCACUUCACUCCGAUCUCUGCUGCCUUGAUGACAUUGACUUCUCUGACUCUGACCCUCUGCCUCUCUCUUAUAACGACCUUGUGAUUACACUGGGCCCAGAGUAAUCCAGAAUAAUGUUCCCAUCUCAAGAUCCUUAGUCUAAUGAUAUCUACAAAAGCCCUUUGCCAUGGAAUUUAAUGUCUUCCUAGGUUCCAGAGAUUAGGAGUGGACAUCUUUGGGGAGUUCUUUAUUCUUUCUAUUGUACUUGUUCACAUAGUAUUUGCACACAAAGAUGCAAAAGAAUCUCAGGAGUGACUGAGAUGGAUGAGGGCCAAGAACAAUAUUUGUGUCCUCUAGCACAUCUGUACAAUAUAUGUAGCAUGAGUAAAUUCCAAGUCACCUUUGAGACCAAUUUAGCAACAGCUAGUAGGAUAUGAAAGUGCACACACACAACUCAACACUCACUUGUAAGUGAAUGCACUAGAAUUGUGUGUACAUACACUCUAGGACACAGGCUCAUGAAUCUCCACGGAGGAGAAGAGUAAAAACCUCUUUUUACUUAUGGAAAAAUUGGGCCCGGCUUCACCAUGAGGAAUGAAUAUCGAAAUUCACAUAAGGAAACAUCACAUAGACCUGAAG